rnacentral:sRNA from 1 species
AGGAUGGCAUCUACGCAGCUCAACUCGUGAACUACUAGGCCCCCCAGGGGUCCAGCAGGGUGGCUGGUGACAGGCCUGGGCCUCUGCAACUGCCCUGACAGGACCGAGGGGCCUUGCCCCUCCACCUGGUGCCCAAGCCUCCUGCCCCACCGUCUGGAUCAGUGUCCUCAAGGCCCCUGGCCCUUACUGAGCCUACAGGGUCCUGGGCCAUGUGGGUGGUGCUUCUGGAUGUCUGUCUCUUAUUUACCUGUAGAAGGAACUUUGGGGUGCAGCCAGGACCCGGUAGGCCUGAGCCUCAACUCUUCAGAAAAUAGAGUGUUUUUAAUAUUCCGAGCUAGAGCUCUUCUUUCUACGUUUGUAGUCAGCACACUGGGAAACUGGGCCAGCGUGGGGCUCCCUGCCUUCUGGACUCCUGAAGGUCGUGGAUGGGCGGAAGGCACACAGCCCGUGCCGGCUGAUGGGACGGGGGUCAGGCAUCCUGUCUGUGGCCUUCUGGGGCACCGAUUCUACCAGGCCCUCCAGCUGCGUGGUCUCCGCAGACCAAGCUCUGGGUGGGCUAGAGGAAUGUCGCCCAUUACUCCUCAGGCCUGGCCCUCGGGCCUCCGUGAUGGGAGCCCCCAGGAGGGGUCAGAUGCUGGAAGGGGCCGCUUUCUGGGGAGUGAGGUGAAGACAUAGCGGCCCAGGCGCUGCCUUCACUCCUGGAGUUUCCAUUUCCAGCUGGAAUCUGCAGCCACCCCCAU